UCUGUGUGGAUAUAACAGCUAAAUGUCAACUCUUAAGAUUUAAUAGAUGAUUUCUUUAGAGAUAUUUAGCAGUGCAAAAAACAAAAACAAAACCCCAGAACAACAGUAACAACAACAACAACAAAAAAACCAUAAUAAACCUACACAUUCCAUGAAUAGAAGCACUAAACAUCAACAGUGCCAAUCACCCAGUAUUACUACGUAAGGUUAUUUGAGAUACACAGCAUCCUUGGAAGCUUUCAAACCAUAUCUAUAAUCUAUUACCCAUUCAAAUCAAAUAUUUAAACUCGGACUUUCUGAAAUUUACAUCACUUUUUCCAGAUGUGUUUUAGAAUGAGUUUUAAUGUUAAUAGAGGUCUAAACCUUUAUCCUUUUCUAAAUGGAUAGCAAGUUUAUGCUGCAUUUUGCAAAACUAUAUAAAGAGAUACAAUGCAGAUAAAACUAUUUCAUCUAGACUAGAAGAGUACAGAACAAAGGAAAAUGACAGCUUAAAAUUCUUAAAAACAAAAACUGGGGUUUUCAAAAACACUCCUCUAUCUAGGAUCAGAGCCUAAAGCUCUCUCAAUAAUUUCUGCUCAGUUUACAUACUGACUUCUCACCAACAGGAUGAUGAGGUCUUUAAAAAAGAGGCAAUACAAUCUAGAGGUCUUUGUAUCAUGUAAUCAUCACUAUGAAGCUAAGGGUGGCUUUUUUACACAGAUGUCAAAGACUAAAAAUAGAGCGAUGUUACAUUGUUCUACGGUCUGAUUUUUUACUUUUUUUUAAUGUUUGUUUAUUUUUGGGAGAGAGAGAAAAGAGUACAAGUGGGGAAGGGGCAGAGAGAGACAGCAACCCAAGCAGGCUCCAGGCUCUGAGCUGUCAGCACAGAGGCCGAUGCAGGGCUCGAACCCACAAACCGCAAGAUCAUGACCUAAGCUGAAGUCGUACGUUUAACUGAAUGAGCCACCCAGGCGCCCCUACAGUCUGAUUUUCUUAUUGGGAUACUUAGGUGAUCUAGUUUCCCCAAGCUCAAAUAUAUUUACUUAUGUAGCAACUUUUUAAAGUCUUGAGGGGCGCCUGGGUGGCUCAGUUGGUUAAGUGUCCAACCCAGGUCUUAAAUUUCAGGGCCCUGAGUUCAAGCCUCACGUUGCUCCAUGCUGGUCAUGGAGCCUACUUAAAACAACAAAACUGUUGAAAAAUCCAGAAAGAGAAAACUGUGGAAAAUGUGUGUAAGUUUAUUAAAAUGUUAAUUCUACCUCAUAUACAGGUCAAGCCAUACACUUCUCUAUCCUCCCACUGCUGCUCCCUGAGUUCAGGACACCAUUACCUCACACCUGAUCACUGCACUAGCUGCUUUCCCUCGGCUGUCAGGGAUUAUCUGAAAGCUCAACUAUGAUCAUAUUAUCUCCUCUAUUUGAAAUACAUCAGUGGCUGUCAAGCUCUUUGUGAUUUGGCCUCAACCUCUAAGCUCUUGUCAAACCACCCAUCUUCAAGCCCUAUUUUCACUAUAGGAAUUUGUUUCCGUUACCUCUAUGUUCCCACCUUGUUUUCUUUAAGUAAACAUUUACUAAACUCUUACUACAUUAUCAAGAACUGUACCACAUGCUUUAUUAAUGCUAACACUUAAUCCUUAGAACCCUACAAAGUAGAUAUUAUCAACCCUGUUUUACAAAUGAGGAAAGAAGUUAAAAAGUUUGCCCAAGGUCAUACCUUCAAGUUCAUUACCUCCUAACUCCUUUUCUUUUCAAAUCUCAGUUUAGAUGUCAUUUUCUCAAAGAAAUUUGCCCUGAUGACUAAAGUACAGUUUAGGUAUCCUUCCUCUGUUCCCUUAAAGUACCCAUUAUGUUCCCUUAGUAACUUCUAUAAUUUACUAUUAAAAUUCUCCUUUAAUUUUGUGUUUUCUUCUCUAGACUAUAAACUCAAUCAGGACAAGGUCCAAGUUGGUUGUCUUCACUAUGGUAUAACUCCAGCACAUGGUUCAGUGAGAGGUUUGAGGUUCAACAGUGGAGUCACUUCAGCAUUGCCAUAGCCAGCAAAGGUGAUUGCAGCGGUGCCAUUUUCUUCAUCUAUCUCCUCAAUCUCGGCUUCAUAACACCUGUAAAGAUAUCAUGACUGUAAGCAGGUGAGUAAAGGUUUAGUACUCAACCUAUAAGACUUACACUGCAGUGAUUCAAUUAUUACAUGUGUCUAAAAUGGAACUUCUGUAAUCAGUUGGCUCUUUGGUAAAGAUAAUACAAACAGUAGUUGGAGUUAGCCAUCUACUAUCAAAAAAAAAGGGGUUCCUAAUCAAAAUAUUGUCAGGAAAGUCUCCUACAUGUCUAUUAAAUGUGCUUUAGUCUAUCUCUUUGAGAAAAGAUAUUUUGUAUAGGAAUAACUUCAGUGUAUGUGCUUCACGUAAGUCUAAGAUAGCCAACCAUUCACUCAAUUUUCAAUCUGAGGAAGAAAUUAGGAUUAUUUUUUAACUAUCCAUUCAUUUUCCUCUGCUUUGAUUUUUCUGUCCUUUAGGAUCCAAGCCCACCACUGCCCCAAAAUUUAUUCUAAAGCUAAAAACUAAACUGUAUUAUAGUGGUAACCACCCAAGAAUCAAAUUGACUUUACAAAUCAUAUUGGCUAUACAGAAAGAUUAAAACAGGGUAGUUCAAACUGAAUAAAAACUUCUUACCAUUGUAUUUUAUUAUUUCAUGUUAUAGUUAGAGUUUUUUUCUACACUUACUGUCCAUCUUCACUCCAGAUUGCCAUACACUUGUCUCCUACUUUCCAUGAAUGAGUGGGCUGAGUAGAAGCAAAACUGUCUGAACUUGCAAGAGUUUCAGAAGGCUGAGUUGACAGAAGGUCUUUGGUUAGUUCUAUAACUUCCUAAAAAGAAAAAACAAAAACCAUAGCAUUAUUUUUAUAAUUUGCUUAUCACCUUUCAACAGGUUUUUAUUUUGAUGACUUUAGCUCUCCACCAUAAAGCACUUAUUAAGUACACUACAUAAAUCUACUUGCAGUUCGUAACGAUACUAUGAUGUAGGUACUACGAUUAUCCUCAUGUAGAAACUAAGAUACAAUAUUUUAUACAGUGGUGGAACUGGGAUUUAAACCCACAGUUGCCUUUCAAUUAACCUCAAAUACUAACAGAAAGCGGCAGACUUGAGCUUAUACCAUUCUUCCUUUCUUUCUUCCUCUCUCUCUUUCUUUUUUUAAGUAAGCUCUACACCCAACAUGGGGUUUGAACUCCUGACCCUAUUAUCAGGAGUCGCUUGUUCUACUGACUAAGCCAGCAAGGUGCCCCUACCAUAGCAUUACUUCUAAGUGCCUAUUUUAGCUAAAGACAUCUAAUAUGAGAAACAAUCAAUUAUGAGGGACUGAACUAGAUUCAAGAUCACUUUUAUCUUCUAUCUUUUUCACAUGUAUUUCAUGCAACUGGAUUGUUUUACAGGGCAUUAUUGGCAGUAGUAUUAACUCUCUAGCCAACAUGUUCCCCACCCCCAUCAAAAAAAAAAAAACCCAAACCCAAAACACUUGAAGCAACCUUAUUAGUAAUACAUAUUUCUACUAAAGUAUUAUAGGCAUAUAGAAAAAGCCAGUAGUCUUCCUAGUCACUUAUUAUAAAACUUACCCCAUCCAGAUAAGCAAAUUACCAGGUCAGAUUUAAAAUAUUCUAAAGAGCACAUUAGCACAGCUUCAUUUAAAAGGAAAAAAUAAAUGUAACACACAUAGGCAGGCAAUACCUGCCUGUGUGGCAAAUAUUUUCUCUAUUUCAGGCUUACACUUAUUGGCUUCAUUCAAGGGUGUUUGGUAGGGUUAGUUAAAAAACUUAAAAGAUACAGUACAAAUGGCCAGAUUUUGCUACCUAUCUGCUUUUUUCACUCCAAUGAAGAUCUAGGUUAUGUAUUACCUUAUAUGAUUUAUUUUAAAAACUUACAUACCUGUUCCCCCACUGUUGCAUAUAAAAUACCUUAAAACAUCACAGUGUUUUGGGAGAAAAAGUAGCAAAGUUAAACUCUAUACUGAGUUUAUGUCUCCCACUGAAGUUUUAUAAUAGUAGCUCUGGUUCAGUAGCCAAGAAGUUAUAUAUUACCUCUUUCCUAAAGAUUCUAAAUCUUCCUGGCUAUUUCUGAAAAACUAAUAUUUGAGCCUUCAAAAAAAAGGGGGGGGGAGUAAGCCCUUGGAGAAAGGCCUGUUUUGUAAAUAGAAAAACAAGACUAACUCAGAUUUGAAUUAAAAAUUCAGUAUAGUAUCUUAAAUGACAUUUUAUUAGGUACCAAAUAGCCAUUCAGAUGCCUUUUAAUUAGAUAAUCCUUUGCAAAUAAGGCAAAGAAUUUCCAAAUAAAUAGAUCAGGUACCAUACAAAGAAGAAUAAACUGUCCAGUCUUGUUUUUAAUCAAUUACUAUUAAGGCCAGGAAUAUAAUCCUUGACUCAAGAGCCAAUACAAUCCUUAUCACUAAAUAAUUCCACUUAACUAAAACACAAACAUGAUUUCUGCAUUUGUAGGUCUCUGAUUUAGAUUCUACCUCUCUUAAGACAGAGCAUCUUGCCAUUUUAUUUUCCUAAGGAAAUUACAGUUUCACCAAAGGGUCCUGAAAAGCUGUGCAUGUUACAAUAAUUUUCAGAGCCCUGCACUGAAGUGACACUUUAAAAAAAAUCCAGGGCUUAUCCCUAGUUGUCCUUUCAUUUUGCCAUGUUUUACAUACCCCUCCCAACAAACUAUGAAGACCCUUUCAAUGUUUUCUUUACAUGUGCAUAUGGACCAAAGUAUUAGAGAAACUAUUUUAUGUAUGAGGGGGUUCUUAAAGGUACAUACCAUUAAUUACUUUUCCUCCCCCAAGUCUGAGUUCUGAAACUGCUCCUUCAUCGACAGAUGGGCAGCAGUUACAGUAAUCGGCAAUUCCAGGAAGCAUCAGAUGUUGUGAUCUACAUAUCAGCAGGUCAAAGGGUGCACUCAAGCACUCUGCUUACUGAAGGAAGGCGUUUCGGGGAUGCAGAGAGCCACUGUAAUAUAUGAGACAAGUGACUUGACCCCUGCCUCCUUUAGAACCAGUUUAUUCAGCAAAACAGCCUAAUAAAUUGACUAUUUUUGUGAUUAUCACAGACUGCCUCGGGAGCUAGUAAAAGCUAGCCUAGAUUUUACUAUACCUACUUUUUUAAGUGAAAAAAGGCAAUUAGGACUUCAGUAGAUUAAUGUGCUGCCUGCUGAGUAACUGUAUUCUAUAUGAAAGACAGUACAUAUAAAUGUGGAAGCCUUACUGGCAAAAUGAAGUCAAUGAAAAAAUGUAGGAAAGCACUUUGUCAUAAAUGAAAGGGGAAACAAAUUCAAAACCAGGAUAAAGACAUUCCACUAAAGGAACACAAAAUAAAGAAGGCCACAAACUCAGUCAUCAGUCUGAACAACUUUUCAGCAAAUAUAAAAGGCAGAAUUAAAUAUCCAAGGUAUGAGGUAUGGGAUACCCCAGAAAAUAGAGAAGAGAAAGAAAGGAAAAUUAUUUUUAAAAAACCCACGACAAAACAGGAGCUAUAACUAUAGUCAGUGGAGACAAUUACUAGGUGGAAGCAGAUAUGUAAACACUUUUCAGAACUUUAAUCUUCAAUGACGCCUUCCAUCUCUGAGUAAUUUUCAGUUCAAAACAGACCUGUAUCUAGUAAACCAAAAUGAAAAAUUUGUUUUCAUGACAAAAUAAGAGCAAAAGAAAUCGUGAUCACAUCUGGACAGGAAAAAUGUACUAUAUUACUACCAUCUGAAGUUUUAGAACUUAAGCUUCUAAAUCUGUGCUAUCCAAUAUGGUACUCACAUGUGGCUACUAAAAUAAAAUUAAGAAUUCAGUUCUUCAGCUAUCCUAGCUACAGUUCAAAUAUUUAAUUGUCCCUAGUGGCUCCAGUACUACAGUAGAUAUAGAACGUUUCCAUCAUCACAGAAAGUUCUACUGUAAACAGUGCUGUUCUAAAUGGGUAUUUUACGGAUAAAUAACCAUUACUAACUGAACCCUACAUAAGCCAUUUAUGUGCUUACCACAAUGCCUACCACAGUGGUCUCUCUCCCUAUAAUACUUCCACUAUAGAUCAUGUCAUAGCACGGCAAUUCUGCCUGGACCCUGACAAUUCAUUCCAGAAACAUUAAAAAGACCUCACAAUAAUGUUGUUUCAACCUUCACUCCCAACUCCCCCUCCACCAGUUCCACAUAUAUCCCUCCUCCAACUGCCCAGGAAGCAAUAUACACAAUAUUGACAAUAGUUUAUUUUCUUCAAAGAAAAAAAGGACUGCUUUUAAGUUGGUAAAACAAGAUGCAUGCCAGGAUUCUUCUUUGAAGCAAGCAGAAAGCUGGCCUAGGAAUGAGAGAAACUGCUCCCAAAACAUCUUUUUAUUAUUGACUGGCACUCUGAAAUUCAGUGGCCUGACUUCUACAUACUGAAGAUGGGUCUUGUUUUCUGUGUUUUUAAAAACCACAUACUAUUGCAACUCAGGCAAGUUUAUCCUAAAUCUACAAUUUAAACCUGAAAAUAUUCAACUCAUUUUAAUUAUGUCCAGAUAAAUCCUUUCAAAGUCCUGUAUCUGGACACCAUUUCAAAUAAGUUUCAUUCAUUUGCAGUUCUAAUAUCCCUAAAAUAUUAAUUUUAAUGGGCAAGAGGAUGAUAAAGGGAGGGAAAGAAUUUAGAUAGGAUAAAGAUGAUUCAAGUUUUGUACUGAAUCAGUAAAGACCAUCUAACCAAAAUACCUUUUAAAAUUUUCAAAAUAAUCAGGUUCAAAAUUUUAAGUUCUCAAAAUUUUUUAAAAUGAAUACACAUGUACAUACAUACAGUAUUUUUAUUAAUCAACAUAAUGUUCUAAAAAACAACAGAUAUUUACUAUAAUGGUUUUGUCUGUCUUGAAACCCCAGUGCAAAUUUUAAAAAGCAAGUUUCAUACCUACGGAACUCUUCCAUGACAAAACAAAUUAAGAUAUCCUUUCCACAUCAAUUUAACCUCAACAAGCGCCAACAACUACACUGUAAAAUCUACCCUUAAAUUCAAGCAUUAUGUAACAUUUAUGCAGAAAACAAGUAUCUCCUUAAAUAUUUUUAUAAUGUGUUUUCAAUAUAAGAUGUUUACCUGCUAGCUUUGAAACGCACAUACCCUCUUAUUUCAUGUUCAAGAACCUUGUGACAUUAAAAAGAGCCCUAAUCAUGUUACAUUUUUCUCAUUUUUUUAGUCAUUUAUAAAAUUCUUCCACAUUUGUUUUCAUUCCAGUACAAUUAACAUUUUUAAUUCCACAUUACUUUUGUCCUUUUAGUUACCUUUGAAACUAAAUUUCUUUUGCCAGAUCUUUAAAAAUAAAAGUACUUUCCACUGUAAAGUUAAAUCAACUCUGAUUUUUAAAAAAUUAUAUGAGCAUAUAAAAUUUACACAACAAAGAACAAUGCUUUACUCAUUUCGCUGUAUACAACUGAGGAAGCGGCAACCCUACUUCUGUGAGCAAUAUACACCUAUGUGCAUACACACGUUUACACACAAGGGAGGAUAGCGGGAGAAACACUCCGAAUUGUGCUUUGGAUUCUAUGCAAGAAAUCAUCUGAAAAACACAAAUACUUUUUUUCAAACAACAUAACUAUUAGCGUCCUCUGAUACUUACUUGUAAAUCUUUCUUUAAUUUCAGCAAAUCUUCAUUUUCUCCAUUUCCAGACAAUGCAGCUUCAACUUGCUGGAGUUGAGCUUUGUAGCUUGCCAGCUGUUUUGCUAGAUCCUCUGACAUCUAGGGAAAAUAAAAAGGGUAAGACCAUGAAAACUGAACAAAAAACACCAUAAAAAAUAACUUCCCUGUCUGCCUGACUUAAUCUUUACCAGUUUUGCUCCCAACUCCUUCAUAGAAGUCAUUGCUGCAGCUCACCAUUACCUUUACACUUAGUUCUGAGAAAAGCUGUGAGCCAAACCCAAACAUCAAGGCAAUGAAUUCUGCAGAGUAUAAACUUGUCAGAUAAGUUCCACACAGAAACAGAAAAUAAGAGCUAAGAUAAAAGGGAAAAGGAGAAUUUCUAUUUUUUUAAACUUGUGUUAACAAGGAAGACACUGUAUUUGGCUGAGUUGUUACAGCUUCACCAAAAAAAAAAAGGGGGGGGGCAGCACUAAUCGGUUGGAAGAGUCAAAGACUGCCGACAAAAAUAUUUUGAAGCACUAGAGAAAACUUCCAGAACAAAAUACAAAUAGCUUUUGGAUUAACUACAUAAAAAAUUCUCUGUACACGAGCUCUUCAGUUAGCGUGUUUAGAACCUCUUCCCCACAGCAAACAAACCAACCAACCCCCCAAAAAAACCCAAGUCACUUAAAUACUGUCGAUGCAGCGUCUCCAUCAGAGAAACCGCACAAAUACUAUCCCAGUUAGGCAUUCUAAGGAGCGUGCCUUUCACCAAAUCUGGCUCAUUCUUCUCCGGAAAGUAAGAUAAAAGAAUCCUUUCUCGAUUUACAAAGCAAACACGCCGGGUUUCCGAGGAUCCUCCUCUGUGUUUACGAUUCCCGUCCAACGACAGCCUGGAAGCUUGGAAGGGCUCCAAGGGGGCUACGGCGAGCCUGCCUGCUCUCCUCCCAGUCACCCAACACCUCGGGGCCCGCCACAACUGGUCCAUUAUUUCAGACCUCGACAUGCAAACACAAUCUCCAGGGAAACCGAAAACACAAACGGAGCGGACCCCAGCGGGGCCAGAGCCUCACACCCCCCCCCCCCCCCCCCAAACACGCUCGGCACAGAACGGCCGAGGGCGUCCUAAAGAGGCCUCCCGCGUCCCCACCCCACCCGACGACGGGUUUCCAGGGUUAGCCUCGUUCGCUGCCACGACACCGAGGCCCGAGCCCCACCCGGGGCAGCUCAGGGCCCAAAACCCUAGCUGGGAGAGGUGGCCGGGCUCCCAACGUCCCUGCCGGCGCCUAGGCCUCGCCAGGGCGGCCCACUCCUCGGCCUCAGGCCUCCGCUUCAACUCGAGAGAGGCCGAGGCCUAGCGAGGCCCCGCGGUCUGCCUCACCCGGAAAUAUGGAGUUAGAGGAACCGAUAAAAUGACCCUGAUGGAAGAAUCAGAUCCAGAAUGUGAGACAUUCCAUAAGAAAACGCCUAAAUUCUUCAAAAGCCUGAUGUAAUAGUCCCUAAGAAUGGGGUUCCUUCCCUGAGAUUCAUCUUCCACACUUGGCUCCCAGAUUGAUCUUCUGGAAACACCAGUCUAAGCAUACCCACACCUACUUGUGAAAUCCCAACCUGUUAGCCCACCAUAUAAGGCCACUGGUGAUAUGGUCACAGCCUGCUUCACGUCCUGAGCACUGACCACACGUUCCAGGCAGAGGGAAUUAGAACCAGUUAACCUGAUAGUCAAUGGAAGAAUAAAACUAAUAUGAUACCCAGAAGACUGAGAAGACCUGAUUCAGACAGACUCCAGGAAAAACUGAAAAUGUACUGUAUCGUGUAGAAGUCUGUGGGGUAGGCUGGCUUCAGGCACUAUGAGAUUCAAAUGCUCAAGCGAUGUCACAAGGACAGGAUUUCUUUUCCUGGCUCUGCCUUCUGACAUAUUGGCUCUCAUAAGUCUUGUUGUGGAGACAAGAUGUCCAUGGCAGCUCACGCCUCAUGUCUUUUCAGGGUUUGGUACAGCAGGAAAGGGAAAGAAUCUUCCUCCCUCGUGGCUGAAACCUGUCCCAAAUUGAGUCUUCUUGACCCUAAUUGGCCAGUCUUUGGUCAGGUGGCCAUCGCUGAACCAGCCAGAGAAUCUGAUUCUCUGGUUGUCUCAGCCCAGAUGUAACAAUUUGGGGGGACUUAAGACAAAGUCAACUCCACUAGAAUCCUAUGGACUGAGAAAAAGUAAAUCCCUGAACAUAAACUCAGUGCUAUUCUGGCAUUAAGUGAAAUGAACAUUGGGCCAUCAAGAAGCCACAAAUUUUCACUGCAUUUAGCGACUUGCUGUUCAUGAACCUGUCAUUUCAAAAUUCUGGCUCAGCUGAGUUUCCUUCAGGGAAUGUCUCUGCAUUUUGUUUUAGAAACAAGCAAUUAGAUGCAUGUGUGUGGUGAGAGAAAUGUUUGCAUAUUGAAAUGGCCUUUAAAAGUGUUUCUUUUUCAGUGAGAUAGCUCUUCCUCCUGUCUUGUAAAGAGGUUUGCCUCACAAAGGUCUAGCAACAUUAAAGUAGUUCUUAAUCAGAAUUGUAGGGAAAGCAAACACAAAGGCUGAGCAUCUUCCCUCUGCACACCUGAGAAGAGAUUAAAUGCAGAAAAAAACCCCAAUACAUGCAAGGUCAUUGAAAUCAGAGCAAAGAAGGGGAAAACCAAUCAUUGUGGGGGGUUUUUUGAUCAAACGUGAUUACAUUUAAAAUAAGCUCAGCCAUGCUUCUCCUGUCACAAAAGGAAAGUGGAGGAGGUUGCCAAAUAAGCUCCCUGCCUUCAAGUUUUGAAAGAGCCAAUUAUGAGAUUCAAAUGACCCAAAAUUGGGCUAGGAAAUUAAUGGUAGAAUAACUGAUAAGUGUGUAAGUUCUCUGGUCUUAUCUUCUCAGGUGAUACAUCUGCUACAACAGCUCCUUUCUGCAUCAUCUGUUUUUUUUCCCUUCUCUACCUCACCCUCAAAUCUUCAUGCCGUAGCUUGCCAGUCUCACUAAGCCCAGGGGAACCCAGUAGGGCUUGUAACCCAUAGCCAGGCCCUCCUGAGCUACGGAUAGCUGCUCGGAGCCCUUUCCCCACCCCACCAUUCAUAAGUCAAUGGUACUAUCCCACCCUCGACCCUGCUUCUGGAGAGAAUGGGGUCACUGUGGAAUAGGUGAGCCCUGGGAGGCAAGCCGGAGGGGCCACAAGGAGCGUGGGCACAGAGAAGACCAUCUGACAGCCACAGGGGAGUCACAGGACCAGAGGGGCUCUUUUGGCUCUUUUUCUAGCUCUUGGACAAGCAGUUCCCAGCUCCCUCCUCCACAUUCCUUAUUUCCAGCCAACGUGCACCCAAAACUGUGCUGACCCUCAGAUUUUGCUUUGUUUGGCCAGUAACAGGUUUUAACAUAUUUUAAAUGUAAAUGCCUUUGAGUACAGUCUAUGUGUAUAUAUGUGUAUGUAUAUAAUCCUGGAGUUUUCCACAGUCCCUACUACUCCCUGUUGCCUUUCACAGGCCUCUGAAUGACCUUCAGCUAGUGGGUAACACAUUAACCCUUUCACUCUUAUCACCUUAAUUCUCUCCUUUCUCUUUCUAAAAUAAGCAGUCACUGAGGAAUGAGUCAGUCUUGAGUGUAUGCCCCCUCCCAUGCUUCUCCUGCUUCCCUGAGCCACACACAGACUCCCACUCUCCCAGUCUGUGUUCCAUGUCCCCAAAUAAGCAACCCUCCUCUGAGUCUGCACACACUUUGUCUCCUCUUCCAGCCAUGACUUCCAGCUCCCUCCUAGUUAACUCACACUCUACCUCCAGAGCUCGGCCCAAAUGUGAAUUCCUCAGGAAAGCCCUGAGGCUUCCUGACAGCCCCAGACUAAGAUGGAUCCCAUCACAUGCUUGUAUGUCUUUUUAAAAAACUUUUAAAAAAACUAUUUAUUUUUGAGAGAGCACAGCGGGCCAUGGGCAGAGAGAGAGGGGCACAGAAGAUCCGAAGUGGGCUCCCUGCUGACAGCAAGACAGUCCGAUGCGGGGCUUGAACCCACAACCAUGAGAUCAUGACCUGAGCCGAAGUCGGACACUUAACUGACUGAGCCCCAAACACCCUGUAUUUCUGCUUCACGGCAUUUGCCUUGAUUGUCUUGCAGUAAUUACCUGUGUUCCUCCCUCACCCCAACACCUGCCCAACUCCACCACCUCCCAAACAUGAGCUCAGGGAGGACAGUUAUUCAGUUUGUUGUGUUCAUAGUUUAUCUCCAGCUCCAAAGGAGCACAAUUUGAGUGCUCAUUACAUGUUGAUCAGUGAGUGCGUGAAUGAAUGAAAAGACUGAGAUGGCAGGGAGACGAAUUUCAGGGGAAAGACCGCACAGACACAGGGUCCAAGGGAAUACUGCAAGGGGCACAUGACAGUACCAUGGGGAGUCUCGUUCAUUCAUAAGUCCCAGCCUCCGAGAAUGUGCUGGCUUCCCGAAGUCACCUCGGAACAGGUUCUUUCCCUAGCACUGGGCCCCAACAGCCUACUGAAGAGGAUUUCCCAGCUUCUGUGGGCCCUUUUACUUGACCCCAGUAAGUCCCCUUUUGCAUUCCCUCUGGUAAGCUUUCCUCACCUUCCCUGCUCUGUGCAAACCCCUCACUCUAUUCCCUCUUGGAAUGAAAGCCAUUUAGUGACAUCUUCCUUGGGUUCUCUCUUUUUUGUAUCUCAACUCUGGCCUUCAGCAGCACUUCUAUUUAAUGGUAUAGGGUGAGCAGUCUUCCCAGGAAAAGUUUUUCUAAAUGUUUCUGGUUUUACCUGAAUUGUUUUUGUUUGAGGUUUAAAUGCAUCUAUAGAUUUUCUGACCCAUUCAGGAACUUUGCUAUUUUUAAAUAAAAGAGGGAUGUGCCAAGUAAUAGCAAAUCGAAACCAUCUCCAUUGGUGCAAAUCACCUUCAAGAAGGACAGACCACCUUUUGGAAGCCUAACAUAGUGGGGGAGGGGCUCCUUUCUGGGUGCUGAGCCUGCUCUGACCCCAGCCCCUCAUUGGUGGCCCUGUGCCAACUCUGCAUUCUGAGGGGGUCAAACCCCUCUAACUGUGAUGACUCACCAGGCUCCCUGAGCUCAGGGUCAGUGGAUGUCACUCUUUCCCCCUGCACUGAAGCCCAGGAAAACCCCAGGGCAUGGGUCACCAGGUGGCAGCCUCUGAUGGGCCUAUCUGUGUCCCAGGACAGCCGCUGUGCCUGUCUGGGUAGGGAGUGUGUUGUGAGGUCCCAUUUACAAAAAUGGGAAGAGAUUAGAGAAACAGCUUUUUCUGUGUUCUGUGAAGACUUUAAAUGAACCAACCUCUUACUUCUACCCCCUGAGCCUGUGACACAGGAGUGUGCCUCAUGGUUGGUGUUAAAGGAUAGCAUGUUUGUGUCUCCUCACCCAAAUUCAUAUGUUGAAAUCCUAACCCCCAAUGUGAUGGUUUUAGGAGGUGGGGCUUUUGUGAAGUAAUUAGGUCAUGAGAGUGAACGAAUGAAAAGACUGAGAUGGCAGGGAGGAGAAUUUCAGGGGAAAGACCACACAGACACAGGGUCCAAGGGCAUACCACAAGGGGUGCAUGAAUAGGAUCAGUGCCCUUGUAAAAGAGAUCCCAGAGUGCUAGCUCACUCUCUUUCCACCAUGUGAGGAUUCAAUGGGAAGUUGGAUGUUUGCAGCAUGGAAAAGGGUUUUCACCAGAACCUGACCAUGCUGGCCUCUGCUUUUGAGUUUCUAGCCUCUAGAAACUUGAGAAAUAAACAUGUGUUGUUUAAGCCCCCUAGUCCAUGGUAAUCUGUUAUAGCAGCCUGAACUAUGAGUUGUUGGGUUGGAAGAAGUGUUCUCUGCUUACACAGAAGUCUCCCCACAGUCCCUUCCGGGUCCUUCAUAUACUUUUCCCUCCUUCAGUUCCUGCCACCAUGGACUAGAGUAUGUCAGUGUGGUCAGGCCCAAAGUGUGAGGAGGUCUCCUCCUCCUGCAUACCCCUAUCCUGACCAGAGAGGCAUAUUAAUCACCAAAGGGGACAUAGAGCUGGUCAGUCAUCAAGUAUUUUCCCUCCCCUGGGGAGG